rnacentral:rRNA from 1 species
GGAGGUUACUGCUAUCGGUGUUCGCCUAACCCAUGCGAGUCAUAUGUUCUUCGUGAACAUGGCGUACUGCUCAGUAACACGUGAAUAACCUGCCCUUGGGACCGGCAUAACCCCGGGAAACUGGGGAUAAUUCCGGAUACCGCAUAUAUGCUGGAAUGCUUUAUGCGUGAAAUGGAUUCGUCUGCCCAAGGAUGGAUCUGCGGCCUAUCAGGUAGUAGUGGGUGUAAUGUACCUACUACCCUACAACGGGUACGGGUUGUGAAAGCAAGAGCCCGGAAAUGGAUUCUGAGACAUGAAUCCAGGCCCUACGGGGCGCACCAGGCGCGAAAACUUUACAAUGCGGGAAACCGUGAUAAGGGGACACCGAGUGCCAGCAACAUUUGUUGGCUGUCCAGGUGUGUAAACUACACCUGUUAGCAAGGGCCGGGCAAGACCGGUGC